GACGAGCGCUGGCGGCGUGCUUAACACAUGCAAGUCGAGCGAUGAAGUUUUUUCGGAAAUGGAUUAGCGGCGAACGGGUGAGGAACACGUGAAGAAUCUGCCCUCCACUUUGGGAUAACACAGGGAAACCUGUGCUAAUACCGAAUAUUGAAACAUAAGUGGCAUCACUGAGUUUUGAAAGAAUUUCGGUGGAGGAUGACUUCGCGGCCUAUCAGCUAGUUGGUGAGGUAAUGGCUCACCAAGGCAACGACGGGUAGCCGGCCUGAGAGGGCGACCGGCCACACUGGGACUGAGACACGGCCCAGACUCCUACGGGAGGCAGCAGUGGGGAAUAUUGGGCAAUGGAGGAAACUCUGACCCAGCGACGCCGCGUGCGGGAUGAAGGCCCUCGGGUUGUAAACCGCUUUCAGUAGGGAAGAAGCGAAAGUGACGGUACCUACAAAAGAAGCACCGGCUAACUAUGUGCCAGCCGCCGCAGUAA
rnacentral:rRNA from 1 species